GACGAACGCUGGCGGCGUGCCUAAUACAUGCAAGUUGAGCGCUGAAGGUUGGUACUUGUACCGACUGGAUGAGCAGCGAACGGGUGAGUAACGCGUGGGGAAUCUGCCUUUGAGCGGGGGACAACAUUUGGAAACGAAUGCUAAUACCGCAUAAAAACUUUAAACACAAGUUUUAAGUUUGAAAGAUGCAAUUGCAUCACUCAAAGAUGAUCCCGCGUUGUAUUAGCUAGUUGGUGAGGUAAAGGCUCACCAAGGCGAUGAUACAUAGCCGACCUGAGAGGGUGAUCGGCCACAUUGGGACUGAGACACGGCCCAAACUCCUACGGGAGGCAGCAGUAGGGAAUCUUCGGCAAUGGACGAAAGUCUGACCGAGCAACGCCGCGUGAGUGAAGAAGGUUGUCGGAUCGUAAAACUCUGUUGGUAGAGAAGAACGUUGGUGAGAGUGGAAAGCUCAUCAAGUGACGGUAACUACACAGAAAGGGACGGCUAACUACGUG
rnacentral:rRNA from 1 species